GGCCAAAACUUAGGCUACCCCUACAGGUCCUUUUUUGAAAAUUACAGAAUGGGUUCCGAGGCAGAAGAAUGAGCGCCAAGAAAAGAUGAACGCAUGCGAGGCAGGUGCACAGGCCAGUGGCACAGCGCCAUCUGCUGUUCAAUUGCAGUUCAACUGCUUUGGCAGGAUGAUGAUCCAUCUUCCUCCUCGAAAGGGAAAUGAAUGGCAAAGACAAAGCCAGCAAAGUCCAGGACUACUCAAGGUGAAGUAAUGGAAGCCAAUUAUAAAUCCCCUACUGCAAUGUCCGAGAUAAACAAACUGAGGGGCCAGCUGCCUGCUAAAGAUGAAGUUAUGUCUCAUGAUCAAAAGGUGUCUACAUCUCAGGGAGUAAGGAGGAAGAGGAUGAAUAUGAUGAUGAUGAUGAUGAUGAUGAUGAUGACAGCUCCUCCAAUGAGGACAUCUCCGAUGAGGAGGCAGCAAGUCAGAGCAAGAAGCAACACAAGAUGAUGAAGAAGAAGAAAGAGCAACCUCUUCGUCUCAGAUUGUGCGACAGCGGACCGAUGAUUAAGAGAUUUCAGAAGUGUCUGACGGUCUUCCAGAAAUUCGGGUCCAUGAGGAAACACAGUGGCAACACAGUGGCACGCACAGCCCCUAUUGCAGAGCUCCACCUGGCUGACCCCAAUGUCUUCUCUACAAUUAAAAGACUGAAGGGCUAGAAGAUGUCGGAGUACAUCCACAUUUGUGGUGCUGUAAUAACCGGGGAGGUUGUGGAGAAAAUUCAGAGGAUGAAAGAUAAGGGGGCCCUCCUUCUCAUUGCAUACAAAAUGGUUUAACCUGUGUCCCUGUGUGUGUUGUGUGUAAGUGUGCAAUUCUGGACGCACUCUAACGCACUUCUGCUCUCUGUUCUACCCCACCCCUCUCUCGCGCGCUCUCUCUCUCUCUCUCUCUGUCCCUCUCUCACUGACUCUCUGUCUGUCUGGAUUUGUGACUGCUGUCUGAGCUCCACAACAGGGGCCGAGUGCACCAUUGUGUUUCUAUGGUUACAAUACACACACACAAAGACUGCACAAACACACAAAGUUGGCUCAGUUUUGUUGAAAUGGCCACUUUUAUGUUCUAUGUACUUACAACACUCAGACGCAGGCUCCAGGCUACUUUUUCCCCCAACUCCAACCUCCCUAGCAGCUCAAUUGUAACCUGAUUUACAUAACAAAUGGCACAAGCGCUCCUAAAAUAUAUACAGUGCCUUCGGAAAGUAUUCAGACCCUUUGACUUUUUC